UUUUUUAGCUAUAAUUGGUUC
rnacentral:piRNA from 1 species